rnacentral:rRNA from 1 species
AUUGAACGCUGGCGGCAGGCCUAACACACGCAAGUCGAACGAGUGGCGGACGGGUGAGUAAUGUCUGGGAAACUGCCUGAUGGAGGGGGAUAACUACGGGAAACGGUAGCUAAUACCGCAUACCAUCAGAUGUGCCAAGGUGGGAUUAGCUAGUAGGUGGGGGAACGGCUCACCUAGGCGACGAUCCCUAGCUGGUCUGAGAGGAUGACCAGCCACACUGGAACUGAGACACGUGCCCGACUCCUACGGGAGGCAGCAGUGGGGAAUAUUGCACAAUGGGCGCAAGCCUGAUGCAGCCAUGCCGCGUGUGUGAAGAAGGCCUUCGGGUUGUAAAGCACUUUCCGCGGGGAGGCGUUACCCGCAGAAGAAGCACCGGCUAACUCCGUGCCAGCAGCCGCGGUAAUUC